rnacentral:rRNA from 1 species
UGGCGGCGUGGAUAAGACAUGCAAGUCGAACGAGAGAAUUGCUAGCUUGCUAAUAAUUCUCUAGUGGCGCACGGGUGAGUAACACGUGAGUAACCUGCCCCCGAGAGCGGGAUAGCCCUGGGAAACUGGGAUUAAUACCGCAUAGUAUCGAAAGAUUAAAGCAGCAAUGCGCUUGGGGAUGGGCUCGCGGCCUAUUAGUUAGUUGGUGAGGUAACGGCUCACCAAGGCGAUGACGGGUAGCCGGUCUGAGAGGAUGUCCGGCCACACUGGAACUGAGACACGGUCCAGACACCUACGGGUGGCAGCAGUCGAGAAUCAUUCACAAUGGGGGAAACCCUGAUGGUGCGACGCCGCGUGGGGGAAUGAAGGUCUUCGGAUUGUAAACCCCUGUCAUGUGGGAGCAAAUUAAAAAGAUAGUACCACAAGAGGAAGAGACGGCUAACUCUGUGCCAGCAGCCGCGGUAAUACAGAGGUCUCAAGCGUUGUUCGGAAUCACUGGGCGUAAAGCGUGCGUAGGCUGUUUCGUAAGUCGUGUGUGAAAGGCGCGGGCUCAACCCGCGGACGGCACAUGAUACUGCGAGACUAGAGUAAUGGAGGGGGAACCGGAAUUCUCGGUGUAGCAGUGAAAUGCGUAGAUAUCGAGAGGAACACUCGUGGCGAAGGCGGGUUCCUGGACAUUAACUGACGCUGAGGCACGAAGGCCAGGGGAGCGAAAGGGAUUAGAUACCCCUGUAGUCCUGGCAGUAAACGGUGCACGCUUGGUGUGCGGGGAAUCGACCCCCUGCGUGCCGGAGCUAACGCGUUAAGCGUGCCGCCUGGGGAGUACGGUCGCAAGAUUAAAACUCAAAGAAAUUGACGGGGACCCGCACAAGCGGUGGAGUAUGUGGCUUAAUUCGAUGCAACGCGAAGAACCUUACCUGGGCUUGACAUGUAAUGAACAACAUGUGAAAGCAUGCGACUCUUCGGAGGCGUUACACAGGUGCUGCAUGGCCGUCGUCAGCUCGUGUCGUGAGAUGUUUGGUUAAGUCCAGCAACGAGCGCAACCCCUGUUGCCAGUUACCAGCACGUGAAGGUGGGGACUCUGGCGAGACUGCCCAGAUCAACUGGGAGGAAGGUGGGGACGACGUCAGGUCAGUAUGGCCCUUAUGCCCAGGGCUGCACACGUACUACAAUGCCCAGUACAGAGGGGGCCGAAGCCGCGAGGCGGAGGAAAUCCUAAAAACUGGGCCCAGUUCGGACUGUAGGCUGCAACCCGCCUACACGAAGCCGGAAUCGCUAGUAAUGGCGCAUCAGCUACGGCGCCGUGAAUACGUUCCCGGGUCUUGUACACACCGCCCGUCACAUCAUGGAAGCCGGUCGCACCCGAAGUAUCUGAAGCCAACCGCAAGGAGGCAGGGUCCUAAGGUGAGACUGGUAACUGG